rnacentral:tRNA from 1 species
UAUAUUAUGGUGUAAAAGCACAGUGAAUUUUGAUUUCAUCGGUAGUGAUUUAAGUUACUUGAUAUAU